GCCGGAGGUUACUGCUAUCGAGGUUCGACUAAGCCAUGCGAGUCGAAUGUAGCAAUACAUGGCGUACUGCUCAGUAACACGUGGACAACCUGCCCUUAGGUUGGGUAUAAACCCGGGAAACUGGGUAUAAUCCCCUAUAAGUCUCGGCUGCUGGAAUGCACCGAGAUUAAAAGCUCCGGCGCCUAAGGAUGGGUCUGCGGCUUAUCAGGUAGUAGUGGGUGUAGCGUACCUACUAGCCUACGACGGGUACGGGUUGUGAGAGCAAGAGCCCGGAGAUGGAUUCUGAGACACGAAUCCAGGCCCUACGGGGUGCAGCAGGCGCGAAAACUUUACAAUGCUGGCAACAGCGAUAAGGGAACCUCGAGUGCCAGGUUACAAAUCUGGCUGUCGAGAUGCCUAAAAAGCAUUUCAUAGCAAGGGCCGGGCAAGACCGGUGCCAGCCGCCGCGGUAACACCGGCGGCUCGAGUGGUAACCGUUAUUAUUGGGUCUAAAGGGUCUGUAGCCGGCCGGAUAAGUCUCUUGAGAAAUCUGGCAGCUUAACUGUCAGGCUUUCAGGAGAUACUGUCUGGCUCGAGGCCGGGAGAGGUGA
rnacentral:rRNA from 1 species